GAUGAACGCUGGCGGCGUGCUUAACACAUGCAAGUCGAACGAAGCACCUUAUUCUGAUUUCUUCAGAAUGAAAAAUUUGGUGACUGAGUGGCGGACGGGUGAGUAACGCGUGGGUAACCUGCCUCAUACAGGGGGAUAACAGUUAGAAAUGACUGCUAAUACCGCAUAAGACCACAGCACCGCAUGGUGCAGGGGUAAAAACUCCGGUGGUAUGAGAUGGACCCGCGUCUGAUUAGGUAGUUGGUGGGGUAACGGCCUACCAAGCCGACGAUCAGUAGCCGACCUGAGAGGGUGACCGGCCACAUUGGGACUGAGACACGGCCCAAACUCCUACGGGAGGCAGCAGUGGGGAAUAUUGCACAAUGGGGGAAACCCUGAUGCAGCGACGCCGCGUGAGCGAUGAAGUAUUUCGGUAUGUAAAGCUCUAUCAGCAGGGAAGAAAAUGACGGUACCUGACUAAGAAGCAC
rnacentral:rRNA from 1 species